UAGGGAAUAUUGGUCAAUGGAUGGAAGUCUGAACCAGCCAUGCCGCGUGCAGGAAGAAGGCCUUCUGGGUUGUAAACUGCUUUUGCCAGGGGCUAAAAAGCCCAUGCGUGGGAAAUUGAAAGUACCUGGUGAAUAAGCCACGGCUAACUACGUGCCAGCAGCCGCGGUAAUACGUAGGUGGCAAGCGUUGUCCGGAUUUAUUGGGUUUAAAGGGUGCGUAGGCGGCUUUGUAAGUCAGUGGUGAAAUAUGGCAGCUCAACUGUCAAGGUGCCAUUGAUACUGCGGAGCUUGAGUACAGAUGAGGUAGGCGGAAUUGACGGUGUAGCGGUGAAAUGCUUAGAUAUCGUCAAGAACACCUAUAGCGAAGGCAGCUUACUAGGCUGUAACUGACGCUGAGGCACGAAAGUGUGGGGAUCAAACA
rnacentral:rRNA from 1 species